rnacentral:tRNA from 1 species
GGAGAGGUGGCAGAGCUCGGUUGAACGCGGCGGUCUUGAAAACCGUUGAAGGUUUGCGCCUUCCGGGGGUUCGAAUCCCUCCCUCUCCG